GACGAACGCUGGCGGCGUGCUUAACACAUGCAAGUCGAACGGAAAGGCCCUGCUUUUGUGGGGUGCUCGAGUGGCGAACGGGUGAGUAACACGUGAGUAACCUGCCCUUGACUUUGGGAUAACUUCAGGAAACUGGGGCUAAUACCGGAUAGGAGCUCCUGCUGCAUGGUGGGGGUUGGAAAGUUUCGGCGGUUGGGGAUGGACUCGCGGCUUAUCAGCUUGUUGGUGGGGUAGUGGCUUACCAAGGCUUUGACGGGUAGCCGGCCUGGGAGGGUGACCGGCCACAUGGGGACGAAGAUACGGCCCAGACUCCUACGGGAGGCAGCAGUGGGGAAUAUUGCACAAUGGGCGGAAGCCUGAUGCAGCAACGCCGCGUGCGGGAUGACGGCCUUCGGGUUGUAAACCGCUUUCGCAUGUGACGAAGCGUGAGUGACGGUAAUGGGUAAAGAAGCACCGGCUAACUACGUG
rnacentral:rRNA from 1 species